GUCGCAUUAGUUUAAUGGUAAAAUGUUUCGUUGCCAGCGAAAAGUUGGGAGUUCGAUUCUCCUAUGUGGCUCCA
rnacentral:tRNA from 1 species